GGGCAUUUCUAAACGGGUGCAGAGAGCGGAGCUGACACUAUCUCUCCGCUAAAACUGAUGUGACCCCGGCGUGAUCGCGGGGCGGGUAACCUGGAGAGGACGGAAGAGGCCGCUCCAGAGAGCGGAGAGGAGGCCGGGGUUUCUCCGAAGACCCGGUCCUGAGGAUCCCUCUCCGCGAGGAAAGACCAUUGCUAUGGAAACCAGAGCUUGGGGCAGCCGGGGAUUGUGGCCAGUCUGGUGACCAGUCUUCUUUCUUCCCGAGACCCUCGCCCACUUCGGGCGACGCUGCUUUCCUGCCCACGAGAGAGAGUUUCCCAUGGCACAGUCUAGCAGAAAGAUGCAGCCUUUGUGCCUCACUGGCCGCUGACCCACUGGCCUGAUGACAGCACCCCCGUGUACCUUUCCGGUUCAGUUCCGGCAGCCCUCGGUCAGCGGCCUCUCACAGAUCACCAGCAGCCUAUAUAUCAGCAAUGGGGUGGCUGCCAACAACAAGCUCAUGCUCUCCAGCAACCAGAUCACCACUGUCAUAAACGUCUCAGUAGAAGUGGUGAACACUUUAUAUGAGGACAUCCAGUAUGUACAGGUGCCUGUGGCUGACACACCCAUCUCACGUCUCUGCGACUUCUUUGACCCCAUUGCUGACCACAUCCACAGCGUGGAGAUGAAGCAGGGCCGCACGCUGCUGCACUGUGCCGCUGGUGUGAGCCGCUCAGCUGCCCUCUGCCUUGCCUACCUCAUGAAGUACCAUGCCAUGUCCCUGCUAGAUGCCCACACAUGGACCAAGUCAUGCCGGCCCAUCAUCCGGCCAAACAAUGGCUUUUGGGAGCAGCUCAUCCACUAUGAGUUCCAGCUGUUUGGCAAGAACACCGUGCACAUGGUCAGCUCCCCUAUGGGAGUGAUCCCUGAUAUCUAUGAGAAGGAGGUCCAUUUGAUGAUUCCACUGUGAGCCAUCUCGGCAGCCCCUGCACCCAGGUCAGAGGUGCAGAUCUGCUGUUGACCAAGAUCUGAACUUAAACAUUCUGUUGUGUUGAUACAGAAAAAACAUAUGAUGCCUUUUAUAAGGACCAGGAAAUAAAGGAAAGGGCAGAAGACCCCAUUUCCUUACUAACUGUCAGCGGUGGGCUGAUGUUUUCUCCUGGAAGCUGCCCACAUUCCUUCAAAUGCUUUCCAGCAAGUUGAGUCCCUCUCACAUGCUGAAUACCUUUGGCUUUUCCCUCUGUUGCAUCUCUCUGAAUCUAGCCAGAGAAAGUUCUCUGCUUUUAAGGAUUCAUGUGAUACACUAGGCUCACCCAAUAUUCCAGACCAGGAAGAUGGCUUCUCUUGGAAUGUUUUCUUCCAUGUCCAGUGCACAGUGCCAGGAGUCACACUGCCUCUGAGAUCAGGCCAGGAGAUAAAGGAACAAAAAACAAAACAGGAAGCUCACCGCCAGAUUGUUUAUACUUCAGGUUCUGAUUCCCUUUCCCAAACCACCUGCUACCAUUUCGUUUUCAGAGUCCUCAGAGAGCUGCUCCAUUCUGUCUAGUGUUUUUAGUUGCAUUUGGGGGAAGGACAGCUGAUGCUUACUCUGUCUUACUCAGAACUGG